rnacentral:rRNA from 1 species
GACGAACGCUGGCGGCGUGCCUAAUACAUGCAAGUCGAGCGAAGUUUUUCUGGUGCUUGCACCGGAAAAACUUAGCGGCGAACGGGUGAGUAACACGUAAAGAACCUGCCUCAUAGACUGGGACAACUAUUGAAAACGAUAGCUAAUACCGGAUAAUAGCAUUAACUGCAUGGUUGAUGUUUAAAAGUUGGUUUUGCUAACACUAUGAGAUGGCUUUGCGGUGCAUUAGCUAGUUGGUGGGGUAAAGGCCUACCAAGGCGACGAUGCAUAGCCGACCUGAGAGGGUGAUCGGCCACACUGGGACUGAGACACGGCCCAGACUCCUACGGGAGGCAGCAGUAGGGAAUCUUCCGCAAUGGGCGAAAGCCUGACGGAGCAACGCCGCGUGAGUGAAGAAGGAUUUCGGUUCGUAAAGCUCUGUUGUUAGGGAAGAAUGAUUGUGUAGUAACUAUACACAGUAGAGACGGUACCUAACCAGAAAGCCACGGCUAACUACGUG